rnacentral:lncRNA from 12 species
AAAAAGACGUAUUUAAAAUAUGGAUUUAAGACAGGGGAAUCCCCAUUCCCAGUUUGAAUUCCCCAUUCCCAGUUUGGGUCCCCAUUCCCGGAUUAGGGUCCCCACUCCCAGUUUGGGGUCCCUAUUCCCAGCUUGGGGUCCCUAGUUCCCAUUCCCCAAAUUUCCCCCAAAUUUCCCCCAUUUUCCAUUUUCCAACCCAAACUCCCUCUCCCAAUUUCUCCCAAAAUUUCCCUUUUCCAGUCCCAAAUUCCUUCCCCGUUUUCCCUUUCCCAACUCCAAAUUCCCACCCCAAAUUUUCCCGAUUUUUUCCCCAUUAUUAAUUUUCCAACCCCAAUUCCCUGCCCCAAAUUCCCAUUCCCCAUAAUUUUCCCCCGAUUUUCCCUUUUCCAACCCUAAACCCCUUCCCCAUAUUUCCCCAAUUUCCCUUUUCCACCCCCAAAUCCCUUCCCCAUUUCCUCCAAAUUCCCCCGAUUUUCCCUUUUCCAACCCCAAACCCCCUUCCCCAUUUCCCCAAAUUUCCCUAAAUUUUCCCCAAAUCUCCCCAAAUUCCCCCAUUUUCCCUUUUCCAAUCCCAAAUCCCUUCCCCAAAUUUCCCCCAACUUCCCUUUCCCAACUCCGAUUCCCAUUCCAUCUUCCCAAAUUCCUCCAAAUUUCCCCCAUUUUCCCUUUCCCAACCCCAAAUUCCCCCGAAUUUCCCUUUCCCAUCCCUAAACUCGCCCAAAUUCUCCCAAAUUUUCCCAAAUUCCCCCCGAAUUUCCCUUUCUCACCCCGAAUUCCCGCCCCCUUUGUCCCGUCCCGUCCCCUCCGUGUCGCCUCCCCCUGGCGCUUCGCCACCGCGGCGUCACCGCCAUGGCGGCCGAGGGGACAGCGGGGACCUCGGGGACAGCGACAGGGCCACCCUCGGCGCCACCAGGGCCACCCCCGGUGUCGCCGUUCGUGCCACCCCUGGACUCCCUCGGCGCCACCAGGGCCGCCACCAGGGCCACCCCCGGUGUCGCCGUUCGUGCCACCCCUGGACUGCAGCGGUGACGACGCUCAGGCCAUGGGCCGGGAGCCGCUGCCCGUGCUGCGACAGGUACCGCCAAUGUCGCUGCUGUCACCUACUGCCACCUGCUGUGUCCUGCUGUCACCUCCUGUCCCCCCAGGGAUCACCGGGAUUGUCCCCCAGGCCUUCAGGUCCCACCGGGAAUGUCCCCUUGUGUCACCGAGGGGACAGCGGGGACCUCGGGGACAGCGACAGGGCCACCCUCGGCGCCACCAGGGCCACCCCCGGUGUCGCCGUUCGUGCCACCCCUGGACUGCAGCGGUGACGACGCUCAGGCCAUGGGCCGGGAGCCGCUGCCCGUGCUGCGACAGAUUUUGGCCGCCUGCGCUUUUCCCGAACUUUUGGACUCUCCCUCUCUGCCCGAGGCCGCGCGGGAUCGCGCCCGGAGAAUCCUGCGGGACAUGGACGCCGGGAAUAUCGGGGGAUACAACCACGAGCAUCGAUCCCACGGUGUCCCUGCCAAAAUUUCCCAGUUCCUGGAAUUCCGGGAUGGAAUUCCCUGCGACCCCAAAAACAUCGUCCUGUGCAGCGGGACAGCAACGAUGAUUCCAGUCACGUUUUAAGCCGGGCUGAGAUGCAGGAGCUGCUCGAGGUCGCGUACGAGGAGUCGCUGGUGGUGCUCGCGCACGAGGUCAGCGGGAAUUCCCAAAAAUUGUUUGGGAAUUUUUUUUGGGGAAUCUUUGGGGAAUUUCUGGAGGAUUUUUUUGGGAAUUGUUUUCUUGGGUUUUUCUGAAAUUUUUGGGGAAGUUUUCGGAAAUUUUUUAGGAUAUAUUUGGGAGUUUUAUUGGUGGUUUUUUGGGAAUUCUUUUAGAGAAUUCUUUUGGGAAUUGAUUCAGGGAAGUUUUGGGGGAAUUUUUUUGGGAAUUGUUUUGGGAAAUCCCCCCCCCCCCCC